CAGCCCCCCGAGUGGUAGGGAUGUUUAUUUGGCCUAAAGCGUCCGUAGCCGGCCGAGUAAGUCCCCCGUUAAAUCCAGCGUCUCAAGCGUUGGACUGCGGGAGAUACUACUUGGCUAGAGAGUGGGAGAGGUCAGCGGUAUUCUGGGGGUAGGGGCGAAAUCCUUUGAUCCCCGGAGGACCACCAGUGGCGAAGGCUGCUGACUAGAACACGUCUGACGGUCAGGGACGAAAGCUGGGGUAGCGAACCGGAUUAGAUACCCGAGUAGUCC
rnacentral:rRNA from 1 species